rfam:Leptospirillum ferriphilum ML-04, complete genome.
GGGGGCGAUCGGGUUCGACGGGGAUGAGAAAGCAAGGACAGCAUGCCGAGGUCCCAGGUCCUCGUAAAACCUUUGGGAAAAAGACAACUGCCAACGAAGAGCUGGCUCUCGCUGCUUAAUCUAAACAAUUAAGUGAGCGCGCUUAUCGGAUUUUGUGCCUGCCCGGAUCCGAAGGCGUGGAGAAGGCAGGAUCGCCAAGGGAACAUGCCUGGGUUCCCGAGGUUAAACCCUUACAGGCUCGCUGAUGACGGGUACGCCCCUCUUUCCCGUCGUUGGUCAGACUUAAACAGGGGCUAAGCAUGUAGCGGUUCUUGGCGGACUGUUUCCGGACGCGGGUUCAAUUCCCGCCGCCUCCACCA